UACGUAGGGUGCAAGCGUUAAUCGGAAUUACUGGGCGUAAAGCGUGCGCAGGCGGCUAUGCAAGACAGAUGUGAAAUCCCCGGGCUCAACCUGGGAACUGCAUCCGAAACUGCCUUGCUCGAGUAUGGGAGAGGGAAGUGGAAUUUCCGGUGUAGCGGUGAAAUGCGUAGAUAUCGGAAGGAACAUCAGUGGCGAAGGCGACUUCCUGGACCAAUACUGACGCUCAGGUGCGAAAGCGUGGGGAGCAAACAGG
rnacentral:rRNA from 1 species